AUUGAACGCUGGCGGCAUGCCUUACACAUGCAAGUCGAACGGUAACAGGUCUUCGGAUGCUGACGAGUGGCGAACGGGUGAGUAAUACAUCGGAACGUGCCCGAUCGUGGGGGAUAACGAAGCGAAAGCUUUGCUAAUACCGCAUAAGAUCUAAGGAUGAAAGCAGGGGACCGCAAGGCCUUGCGCGAACGGAGCGGCCGAUGGCGGAUUAGGUAGUUGGUGGGAUAAAAGCUUACCAAGCCGACGAUCUGUAGCUGGUCUGAGAGGACGACCAGACACACUGGGACUGAGACACGGCACAGACUCCUACGGGAGGCAGCAGUGGGGAAUUUUGGACAAUGGGCGAAAGCCUGAUCCAGCCAUGCCGCGUGCAGGAUGAAGGCCUUCGGGUUGUAAACUGCUUUUGUACGGAACGAAAAGACUCUUUCUAAUAAAGAGGGUCCAUGACGGUACCGUAAGAAUAGGCACCGGCUAACUACGUGCCAGCCGCCGCGGUAA
rnacentral:rRNA from 1 species